GACGAACGCUGGCGGCGUGCUUAACACAUGCAAGUCGAACGGUGAAGCGCCUUCCUUUUUGGUGGGUGUGGAUGAGUGGCGAACGGGUGAGUAACACGUGAGUAACCUGCCCCCUUCUUCUGGAUAACCGCAUGAAAGUGUGGCUAAUACGGGAUAUUCUGGGUCUGUCGCAUGAUGGGUCUGGGAAAGAUAUUGUUUCGGUGGGGGAUGGGCUCGCGGCCUAUCAGCUUGUUGGUGGGGUGAUGGCCUACCAAGGCGGUGACGGGUAGCCGGCCUGAGAGGGUGGACGGUCACACUGGGACUGAGACACGGCCCAGACUCCUACGGGAGGCAGCAGUGGGGAAUAUGGCACAAUGGGCGCAAGCGUGAUGCAGCGACGCCGCGGGAGGGAUGGAGGCCUGCGGGUUGUGAACCUCUUUCGCCAGUGAAGCAGGCCUGCCUCGUUUGUGGGUGGGUUGACGGUAGCUGGAUAAGAAGCGCCGGCUAACUACGUG
rnacentral:rRNA from 1 species